rnacentral:rRNA from 1 species
AACGAACGCUGGCGGCGCGCCUAAUACAUGCAAGUCGAGCGAGAAGACGUAGCAAUACGUUUGUAAAGCGGCGAACGGGUGAGGAAUACAUGGGUAACCUACCCUCGAGUGGGGAAUAACUAGCCGAAAGGUUAGCUAAUACCGCGUACGCUCCUUGGACUUCGGUUCAGGGAGGAAAGCGAUACCGUGGGUAUCGCGCUCUUGGAUGGGCUCAUGUCCUAUCAGCUUGUUGGUGAGGUAACGGCUCACCAAGGCUUCGACGGGUAGCUGGUCUGAGAGGACGAUCAGCCACACUGGCACUGCGACACGGGCCAGACUCCGUACGGGAGGCAGCAGUAAGGAAUAUUGCGCAAUGGGACGAAAGCCUGACGCAGCGACGCCGCGGUGGGGGA